AGCAGAUCAUCGGGCUGGUGCCGACCAUCGCGGACGCGCCGAAGCGCGGCGCCGCGUUGCUCAUCGAGUGCCGCGGCGCGACGGACGAGGAGCUGGACGUCGCGAUUAAGGAGGUGUCCACGUCCCUGGACGGCGCGAACUUGGCGUACCUCAACGAUCGCGUGUCCACGUACCCGUUCAUGAAGGACGAGGCGGUGUACAAGGUGUACUGGGACGUGAGGAAAGGGCUGAUUCCCCUCGUCGGGUCUUCGCGCAGCGCGGGGACGUCGGUGCUCAUCGAGGACGUCGCGUGCGAGGUGGACAAGCUCGGGGACAUGACCCAGGACCUGAUCGACAUGUUCGAGCGGUUCGGAUACGACGACGCGUCGUGCAUGGGCCACGCGCUCGAGGGCAACUUGCACCUGGUGUUUUCGCAGGGCUUCCGGAACGACGAGGAAGUGAAGCGGUACGCCGCGAUGAUGGAGGAGAUGUGCGAGAUCGUCGCGA
rnacentral:lncRNA from 1 species